CGAGGAAUAUUGGUCAAUGGGCGCAAGCCUGAACCAGCCAUCCCGCGUGCAGGAAGACGGCGCUAUGCGUUGUAAACUGCUUUUCCAGGGGGAGAAACUUGCGUACGUGAUACGCAAUUGACGGUACCCUGGGAAUAAGCAUCGGCUAACUCCGUGCCAGCAGCCGCGGUAAUACGGAGGAUGCAAGCGUUAUCCGGAUUCAUUGGGUUUAAAGGGUGCGUAGGCGGACUAUUAAGUCAGUGGUGAAAUCCUGCAGCUUAACUGCAGAACUGCCAUUGAUACUGAUAGCCUAGAGUUUGGUGAAGGUAGGCGGAAUGUGUAAUGUAGCGGUGAAAUGCUUAGAUAUUACACAGAACACCAAUUGCGUAGGCAGCUUACUGAGGCGACACUGACGCUGAGGCACGAAAGCGUGGGGAUCAAA
rnacentral:rRNA from 1 species